rnacentral:rRNA from 1 species
UACGGGGGGAGCAAGCGUUGUUCGGAUUUACUGGGCGUAAAGGGCGCGUAGGCGGCCACCGCAAGUCGAUUGUGAAAUCUCCGGGCUUAACCCGGAAAGGUCAACCGAUACUGCGGGGCUAGAGUGCAGAAGGGGCAACUGGAAUUCUCGGUGUAGCGGUGAAAUGCGUAGAUAUCGAGAGGAACACCUGCGGCGAAGGCGGGUUGCUGGGCUGACACUGACGCUGAGGCGCGAAAGCUAGGGGAGCGAACAGG